GACGAACUGUCCUACCGUUGUUCGGAAUCACUGGGCUUAAAGGGCGCGUAGGCGGUCCGACAAGUCAGGGGUGAAAUCCUGCAGCUUAACUGUAGAAGUGCCUUUGAUACUGUCGGUCUUGAGGGAAAUAGGGGUGUGCGGAACUUCCAGUGGAGCGGUGAAAUGCGUUGAUAUUGGAAGGAACGCCGGAGGCGAAAGCGGCGCACUGGAUUUCUUCUGACGCUGAGGCGCGAAAGCCAGGGGAGCAAACGGG
rnacentral:rRNA from 1 species